rnacentral:rRNA from 1 species
GUGCUUAACACAUGCAAGUCGAACGAUGAACCAGGAGCUUGCUCUUGGGAAUUAGUGGCGAACGGGUGAGUAACACGUGAGUAACCUGCCCUUGACUCUGGGAUAACCUCCGGAAACGGAAGCUAAUACCGGAUACGACGUACGGAGGCAUCUCCUGUACGUGGAAAGAACUUCGGUCAAGGAUGGACUCGCGGCCUAUCAGGUAGUUGGUGAGGUAACGGCUCACCAAGCCUACGACGGGUAGCCGGCCUGAGAGGGUGACCGGCCACACUGGGACUGAGACACGGCCCAGACUCCUACGGGAGGCAGCAGUGGGGAAUAUUGCACAAUGGGCGCAAGCCUGAUGCAGCAACGCCGCGUGAGGGAUGACGGCCUUCGGGUUGUAAACCUCUUUUAGUAGGGAAGAAGCGAAAGUGACGGUACCUGCAGAAAAAGCACCGGCUAACUACGUGCCAGCAGCCGCGGUAAUACGUAGGGUGCGAGCGUUGUCCGGAAUUAUUGGGCGUAAAGAGCUCGUAGGCGGUCUGUCGCGUCUGCUGUGAAAACCCGAGGCUCAACCUCGGGCCUGCAGUGGGUACGGGCAGACUAGAGUGCGGUAGGGGAGAAUGGAAUUCCUGGUGUAGCGGUGGAAUGCGCAGAUAUCAGGAGGAACACCGAUGGCGAAGGCAGUUCUCUGGGCCGUAACUGACGCUGAGGAGCGAAAGCGUUGGGAGCGACCAGGAUUAGAUACCCUGGUAUUCCACGCCGUAAACGUUGGGCGCUAAAUGUGGGGACCAUUCCACGGUU